AAAAUAAAGGUCCUUAAAUCAUAGCGUAUCUCCGACCUUAUUGAUCUGCCAAAGCCAUACCCCGAGCAGGGUCAAUAGGGUAGUUCACUUAUCCUGCCACACACACACACACGCACAGAGACACACAGACACACAGACACACACACACUCACACUCACGCACACAGUCAUUAAUUUUGGGAAGACACUGUCAGUAUCUGUCUACGCAAGCUCUCUGGAACUGCCUGUGCAGUAACUUUGUGCAGCAUCAUGGAGGUCACCCCAUCUGUGCCAGAUAGUGUGGUGUCUUAAUGCACAUCACCUUCUAACCAAUCAGAAUCCAGUAUUGAGACUGACCAUGGACUUGGCGGUGAUGAAACAGACUCUGCUGGCCUGUGAGUGGGUGGAGGAGAACAGACCCCACUUUGCUGGGAAAGUUCACUUACCACGGAUCAUGAGGAUGAACGAGGAUGAUGCCUUGUUGGCCAUCACAAUGCAGGACCUGUUUAUCAACACUAUUUUUUAUGAAAGUGAAAUGGACGAAGAGAAAAUCCGGGCUCCCUUCCUUUUCACCUUCGAGAGAUUAGAGGACAUGGAGUUUUUCAUGCAGGAAAUAUACGAUAAGAAAUAUUCACGUGUCUUGCCUGCACAACCCUCACCGCUAACAAGCUAAUUAGUGGGGUAGAUCUGUGAAAAUAUUGCUUUUACGUGUAGUUUUAGGUUUUGUAAAAUGUUGUGUUUUUUUUAACCCAUUAAAGUUUUGUGGGGAAAAAAUGUGUUCUUGAAACCGAAUAUACUAAAAUUUUAUUUUGUAUCUUAUUAUAUAUAUUUUUUUUUCUAGAGUGAAGACUGAUUUUUAUGUUAGAUGUACAUUUUGUUAAUGAAGGUGAAUAGAAAUAAAAUAAAUUCAGCAACA